UAUUUCAGAAAAGCACUUUGCCGCUGGCGCCCAUUUCUACACCCACUGUUCAGAGAGAAGUCAGGAGUGCCUUUAGUGUCUAAUCAUAGAGAGUUUCAUAUUUAAAAGAUACUUACUUUAAGACUUUAUUUAAGGACCUUCACUUUUAUAAAGUUUCCUCUGACGUCUAAGCUCCUGGAUCAAGACUGAGAAAGAAGAGAGAAGAAGCUACAUGUAAAAAGCCCUCUUGGCCAUCUACCAAGCAAUAAAAACAGACCAUGGCGUCCAAAAUGGAAACCCUUGAUCCUUCAACUUUAUCAGAUGUCACCUCUACUGUGAGAUACGGGUCUAAAUCGGAAACCGUGACCUUACCAGGAGGAGUUGUGUCAGUGGCGGGCGUCACUGUGGUUACUGGAGGCGUUGAACUGUCUUGUGGAUCCUGCAUGCUAGCUUUUGGAUUUUGGGGAACUCUCAUCGGCUUCAGCUGCCUGGCUGUGGGGCUGUGGGACCAGCUGAACUUCUAUAAAGGGGGAACCUCUCAUUUGCUGGGACUGGGGCUUGUGAUACUGGCCCUCAGUUUUGUGGUGGUGGUGGGUGUGGCAACAAUUCACCUCCUAACCAAGAGAAAAAGACAGAUGACAAAAGAAGUGAGACAGCAUGGGAAAGAAGUUCUUGUAGAGAGUGGUAGGGUAAUAAAAAAAGUCACAGUAUAAACAGUGUUUAAUGACAGACAUUAAGGAAAAAAGAUCUCUGAUCUUUUAGAAAUAAAUUAUCACCAUUCCAACCCAACUCUGUACCACUACUUAUUAGGUAUCUUUAAUCUAAAUAAUGUAGAAAUGCAGUUAUUCAGUUUUGAGGCAUUUUAUUUCAACUUACAGUCAUUAAAAUUUUACACACUAAUAUUGUAGUUUUGUAUUCUAAUUGAGCCGUGUAGGCUGGCAAAGUUCUUCUUAAUGAUCAACAUAUGUUAUUGCUUAUGCUUAUGACUUGUUGCUUUGUAAAUCUAAAAAAAAAGCAGUGAAAAUGAGUUUCGUCUUGAGCAGUGGUUCAUGUCACAUUAAUAAUAAUAAGCCAAUAAUGUAACACUAUUCGACUACAUUAUGCACAUUGUGCUACUUACACUUAAUUAAAAUUAUGAAUAUAAAUGUUUAAUCCCACUAAUUAUUUUCCUUGUAAUGGUUUUUUUUUUUCACUCCUGCAGCUUGUAAUGUGUGCACAGAGCAUAAACAGAAUGCAAUAAUUGGACUGGGUAAAAUGUGAGAGAAUCAAAAAAAGGAAGAGAGAGACAGGGUUUUAUUACAACAGAAUACAGGACAUUGCUCAUUUUAACCUAGUGGGUCCCAUGCAUGCAGAUACCUUUUAGGUUUUGUAUUUGCACCCAAACUUGAUAUUAAAAACUCAGCAGGACGACAUCUUUAUAGAAACACUGGUUAGUGAGGAUAACCCAAAGCCUUUCACAAUGUUGCUGGGAUAACAGAGACCUUCCUGUCUACGUAUCUUUUAGGAUCAGAUAUGGGGAUUAUCCUGAUCUACAUUAUCCUUAGUAUUUUGCCUUUUAUGAUUUUUUUUUUAACUUUAAGCACCACAAAUGUCAUUUGAGGGUUUAGUUAAAGUUACUAGUAACCAGACAAAUUUACAAAUCACAGUGAGCAUGAUUCAUAAAAGUGCAGACCAACAGAAGUAAGGUAGACUAUAAAAAGCACUGGAGUUACUAAUACACAGAAAAAAAGUUGUUAAUUCUUUUUUGGGAGUCUCAGGAGUGUGUGUGACAAUAAAAUACUAAAUAUAAUUUUAAAUUGUAUAUUAUUUUUCUAAGAUUUGUGUUCACUGGGGUCCUUUAUUUUGUAUUUUUGGUCAGAUCAUAUUUGAUUUUAUUGAGCUUUCCUGCUUGAUUUGUAAUUUUUUGUUGUAGGUUAUGUUUAAUGUUUUGGCUACUGUAACGAGAAUAAAUAAAGUACAAAAUAAAUGUUA